rnacentral:rRNA from 1 species
AACGAACGCUGGCGGCAUGCUUAACACAUGCAAGUCGAACGCUCUAGGGACUGCGGUUUUAAGAGAGUGACAGACGGGUGAGUAACGUGCGGGAACGUACCUUUUGGUUCGGAAUAACGAUUGGCAACGAUCGCUAAUACCGGAUAGCCUCGUGAGAGGAAAGAUUUAUCGCCAAGAGAGCGGCCCGCGUUAGAUUAGGUAGGUGGUGGGGUCAUGGCCUACCAAGCCUGCGAUCUAUAGCUGGUCUGAGAGGAUGAUCAGCCACACUGGGACUGAGACACGGCACAGACCCCUACGGGAGGCAGCAGUGGGGAAUAUUGGACAAUGGGGGAAACCCUGAUCCAGCAAUGCCGCGUGAGUGAUGAAGGCCUUCGGGUUGUAAAGCUCUUUUACCUGUGAAGAUAAUGACUGUAGCAGGGGAAUAAGCUCCGGCUAACUUCGUGCCAGCCGCCGCAGUAA